CGAACUGUGAGGAAUCACAACGGGAACAAGUGGUAACUGUGGGAUGUGAACACAGACUGAAGGUGUAACCAGCACGAAGCCAUUCACAAACCCAGUUGUGGUCAUGUUGUUGUUGUUAUUCAAAAUAAAAAGCACAAGUUAGCGGUGACUGGAGGUAGUUACACACAUAGAUACACAAUAACUGGUGAGUCAGAUCCCCAGAUGUGUCCCUCUGUGUGGCUGUGGACCAUCAUGUGUUGUUAACUGUUUGUUGGGACCAGGUGGCACGAGGACGAAGACCUGUGAUUCUAUUAAUCCUGGUAAUACUGUGAGUAUUAUCCUAGUAAUACUGUGAGUAUUAUUCUAUUAACACUGUGAGUAUUAUCCUGGUAAUACUGUGAGUAUUAUUCUAUCAAUACUGUGAGUAUUUUCCCAGCAAUACUGUGAGUAUUAUCCUAGUAAUACUGUGAGUACUGUUCUAUCAAUACUGUGAGUGUUAUCCUGGUAAUACUGUGAGUAUUAUUCUAUCAAUACUGUGAGUAUUUUCCCAGUAAUACUGUGAGUAUUAUCCUAGUAAUACUGUGAGUAUUAUUCUAUUAAUACUGUGAGUAUUAUACUGUGAGUAUUAUUCUAGUAAUACUGUGAGUAUUAUUCUAUUAAUACUGUGAGUAUUAUACUUAUUAUACUGUGAGUAUUAUUCUAUUAAUACUGUGAGUAUUAUACUGUGAGUAUUAUUCUGGUAAUACUGUGAGUAUUAUACUGUGAGUAUUAUUCUAGUAAUACUGUGAGUAUUAUUCUAGUAAUACGGUGAGUGAAGGAGGCACAGUGGACGUGAUGAAAGGAAUAACCAUGAAGACAUGGUGUCAUUAUCAGAAGGAAGGACAUGAUGCAGAGACGCUUCUUAUUACAGGCUGGAAAUAAACGCAGCCAAAUGACCCAGGUCACAUGACCCAGGUCACGUGACUAAAACAAACCUUUAAAGUGUUUACUGCGAGCUCGGUUCCCGCCGCCUCAAACAAUGGCUUCAUGGAGCAGCAGCAGCGAUGAUGAGGAGGAGGAGGAAGAGGAGGUGGCUGUUCCUGGAAUAAAUGACGCUUGAAGCCAACGGGGGAAGUAAAUAUCGCCAACAGUGGUCUGAUGACGCUGUUCAGGAUUCAGGGGGGGGGGGGUGGGGGGCACCUCUCGCUCUAUGCUCCGAUUAAAGAUGGAGGGAUGAAUAAAACAUCCGCAUGUACCCUGAUUUGCAGUCAGAGUCCAUAUUGACACAGUGGGCAAAGUAUUCCAUCAUCACCACAACUGAGAUUUGGAACAAAUUUUCCAUCUCUGCUCUUUUUCUGGGAGGGGGGGUCGUCUUAGUAUUAAUUAUAUAGUAAAUAGAAUUUUCACUUUUGUCUGUAAAUUUUUCAUCUACUGUAGUUUGGAAAAUAGAGAACUCGGGGGCUCCAAGGGACACGUUCAGGAUACAUGUAAUCAGUAUAUAAUCACAUAAUCAAUAAACCUGACUGGAUUAUAGGCAGCGAGUGUAGUUCUGCAACCAUGAGGUAAAUGGAUCGAAGCGCUGCUUCCAGUCACUGCAGACUGGACCGGGGUCAUGUGACCUCUGUGGACGACCGAUGGCCGAGUAUCAGAACAUGAGGUGUUUAUCAUACUGGGAAAAGACGCAGUAGUUUGUGAGCCACAGACGUCCCACUGAAAUACUUCAUCUGCUCUCUGAAUUACUCCCUUGAGUAAGGGAGGGGG
ensembl:lncRNA